CCUACGGGGGGCAGCAGUGAGGAAUAUUGGUCAAUGGACGAGAGUCUGAACCAGCCAAGUAGCGUGAAGGAUGAAUGCCCUAUGGGUUGUAAACUUCUUUUAUAUGGGAAUAAAACGUUCCACGUGUGGGAUUUUGUAUGUACCAUAUGAAUAAGGAUCGGCUAACUCCGUGCCAGCAGCCGCGGUAAUACGGAGGAUCCGAGCGUUAUCCGGAUUUAUUGGGUUUAAAGGGAGCGUAGGUGGAUUGUUAAGUCAGUUGUGAAAGUUUGCGGCUCAACCGUAAAAUUGCAGUUGAAACUGGCAGUCUUGAGUACAGUAGAGGUGAGCGGAAUUCGUGGUGUAGCGGUGAAAUGCUUAGAUAUCACGAAGAACUCCGAUUGCGAAGGCAGUUCACUGGACUGCAACUGACACUGAGGCUCGAAAGUGUGGGUAUCAAACAGGAUUAGAUACCCGAGUAGUC
rnacentral:rRNA from 1 species